rnacentral:rRNA from 1 species
AUUGAACGCUAGCGGCAUGCUUAACACAUGCAAGUCGAACGAGUGGCGGACGGGUGAGUAAUGUCUGGGAAACUGCCUGGUGGAGGGGGAUAACUACUGGAAACGGUAGCUAAUACCGCAUACCAUUGGAGGUGCCCAGAUGGGAUUAGCUAGUUGGUAGGGUAACGGCUCACCUAGGCAACGAUCCCUAGCUGGUUUGAGAGGAUGACCAGCCACACUGGAACUGAGACACGGUCCAGACUCCUACGGGAGUCAGCAGUGGGGAAUAUUGCACAAUGGGCGAAACCCUGAUGCAGCCAUGCCGCGUGUAUGAAGAAGGCCUUCGGGUUGUAAAGUACUUUCAGCGGUGAGGCGUUAUCCGCAGAAGAAGCACCGGCUAACUCCGUGCCAGCAGCCGCGGUAAUUC